rnacentral:rRNA from 1 species
AGAGUUUGAUCCUGGCUCAGGAUGAACGCUGGCGGCGUGCUUAACACAUGCAAGUCGAACGAAGCGCUACCGACGGAACUUUUCGGAGGGAAGAUGGUAAUGACUGAGUGGCGGACGGGUGAGUAACGCGUGGGUAACCUGCCUCACAGAGGGGGACAACAGCCGAAACGGCUGCUAAUACCGCAUAACAAGGGAUUGCCGCAUGACGAUCCUUUCAAAGAUUUAUCGCUGUGAGAUGGACCCGCGUCUGAUUAGCUUGUUGGUGGGGUAACGGCCUACCAAGGCGACGAUCAGUAGCCGGCUUGAGAGAGUGAACGGCCACAUUGGGACUGAGACACGGCCCAGACUCCUACGGGAGGCAGCAGUGGGGAAUAUUGCACAAUGGGGGAAACCCUGAUGCAGCGACGCCGCGUGAGUGAAGAAGUAUUUCGGUAUGUAAAGCUCUAUCGGCAGGGAAGAUAAUGACGGUACCUGACUAAGAAGCCCCGGCUAACUACGUG